GAUGAACGCUGACAGAAUGCUUAACACAUCAGCAAUUGAUUGGUGGCGGACGGGUGAGUAACGCGUAAAGAACUUGCCUCACAGGUAGGGACAACAUUUGGAAACGAAUGCUAAUACCUAAUACUGUGAUAGAGCUUUGCGUCACAUUAGCUAGUUGGAGAGGUAACGGCUCACCAAGGCGAUGAUGGGUAGCCGUCCUGAGAGGGUGAUCGGACACAAACGGACUGAGAAGCGACCAUUACUCAUACGGGAGGCAGCAGUGGGGAAUAGUGGGCGAUGGACCAAAGUGUGAUCAAGCAAUUCGGUGUGCAAGAUGAAGUUUUCGGAAUGUAAAGUGGUUUCAGUUGGGAAGCGGUACCAACAGAAGAAGUGACGGCUAACUACGUGCCAGCAGCCGCGGUAAUUC
rnacentral:rRNA from 1 species